CAUAUCAAUAAGCGGAGGAAAAGAAACCAACAGGGAUUGCCUCAGUAACGGCGAGUGAAGCGGCAACAGCUCAAAUUUGUAAUCUGGCUCCUUCGGGGUCCGAGUUGUAAUUUGUAGAGGAUGUUUCGGGUGCGGCGCCGGUCGAAGUCCCUUGGAACAGGGUGUCACAGAGGGUGAGAAUCCCGUACGUGGCCGGCAACCAAGCCCAUGUGAAACUCCUUCGACGAGUCGAGUUGUUUGGGAAUGCAGCUCAAAAUGGGUGGUAAAUUUCAUCUAAAGCUAAAUACCGGCCAGAGACCGAUAGCGCACAAGUAGAGUGAUCGAAAGAUGAAAAGCACUUUGGAAAGAGAGUUAAAAAGUACGUGAAAUUGUUGAAAGGGAAGCGCUUGCGACCAGACCUGCCCGUGGGUGCUCAGCGGCGGUUCUCCGCCGUGCACUCGCCCACGACCAGGCCAGCAUCAGUUCUGGCGACCGGAUAAAGGCCCGAGGAAUGUGGCUCCUCUCGGGGAGUGUUAUAGCCUCGGGUGUCAUACGGCCAGCCGGGACUGAGGACCGCGCUUCGGCAAGGAUGCUGGCAUAAUGGUCGUAAGCGACCCGUCUUGAAACACGGACCAAGGAGUCUAACAUCUAUGCAAGUGUUUGGGUGUCAAACCCAUGCGCGCAAUGAAAGUGAACGAUGGUCAGAGCCCUCUGGGUGCAUGAUCGACCGAUCUUGAAGUUUACGGAUGGAUUUGAGUAUGAGCAUAGCUGUUGGGACCCGAAAGAUGGUGAACUAUGCCUGAAUAGGGUGAAGCCAGAGGAAACUCUGGUGGAGGCUCGCAGCGGUUCUGACGUGCAAAUCGAUCGUCAAAUUUGGGUAUAGGGGCGAAAGACUAAUCGAACCAUCUAGUAGCUGGUUCCUGCCGAAU
rnacentral:rRNA from 1 species